UACGAAGGGGGCUAGCGUUGCUCGGAAUGACUGGGCGUAAAGGGCGCGUAGGCGGAUGGCACAGUCAGAUGUGAAAUUCCCGGGCUUAACCUGGGGGCUGCAUUUGAUACGUGUGAUCUAGAGUGAGGAAGAGGGUCGUGGAAUUCCCAGUGUAGAGGUGAAAUUCGUAGAUAUUGGGAAGAACACCGGGUGGCGAAGGCGGCGACCUGGUCCUUGACUGACGCUGAGGCGCGGAAAGCGUGGGGAGCAAACAGG
rnacentral:rRNA from 1 species